rnacentral:tRNA from 1 species
UAGGGCUCAGUGGUAGAGUACCCACCUAGCAAGUGUGAGGCCCUGAGUUCAAACCCCAGUA